CGCUGGCGGCGUGCUUAACACAUGCAAGUCAGGGGGCCCGCAAGGGUCACCGGCGAACGGGUGCGUAACACGUGAACAACCUGCCCGAGCGAGGGGGAUAGCCGGCCCAACGGCCGGGUAAUACCGCAUAUGCUCACAGUGCCUUAUGGCGCAGUGAGGAAACCUUCGGGGCGCUCGGAGGGGUUCGCGACCUAUCAGCUAGUUGGUGGGGUAAUGGCCUACCAAGGCAACGACGGGUAGCUGGUCUGAGAGGAUGGCCAGCCACAUUGGGACUGCGACACGGCCCAGACUCCUACGGGAGGCAGCAGUGGGGAAUAUUGCGCAAUGGUCGAAAGACUGACGCAGCGACGCCGCGUGGAGGAUGACGCCCUUCGGGGUGUAAAUUCCUGUUGCUCGGGACGAACCGUGGGAUUCAUCCCACCUGACGGUACCGAGUGAGGAAGCACCGGCUAACUCUGUGCCAGCAGCCGCGGUAAUACAGAGGGUGCGAGCGUUGUCCGGAAUUACUGGGCGUAAAGGGUUCGUAGGUGGUGCGGCGAGUUGGGAGUGAAAUCUCUGGGCUUAACCCAGAGGCUGCUUUCAAAACUGCCGUGCUCGAGUGCGAGAGAGGUCAGUGGAGUUGCAGGUGUAGCGGUGAAAUGCGUAGAUAUCUGCAGGAACACCCGUGGCGAAGGCGGCUGACUGGAUCGCAACUGACACUGAGGAACGAAAGCUAG
rnacentral:rRNA from 1 species